UGAGUAACCUGCCCUUAACUCUGGGAUAAGCCUGGGAAACUGGGUCUAAUACCGGAUAUGACUCCUCAUCGCAUGGUGGGGGGUGGAAAGCUUUAUUGCGGUUUUGGAUGGACUCGCGGCCUAUCAGCUUGUUGGCGGGGUAAUGGCCCACCAAGGCGACGACGGGUAGCCGGCCUGAGAGGGUGAUCGGCCACACUGGGACUGAGACACGGCCCAGACUCCUACGGGAGGCAG
rnacentral:rRNA from 1 species